AUUGAACGCUGGCGGAAUGCUUUACACAUGCAAGUCGAACGGUAGAGGGGGCAACCCCUUGAGAGUGGCGAACGGGUGAGUAAUAUAUCGGAACGUGCCCAGUCGUGGGGGAUAACGUAGCGAAAGUUACGCUAAUACCGCAUACGAUCUAAGGAUGAAAGCGGGGGACCGUAAGGCCUCGCGCGAUUGGAGCGGCCGAUAUCAGAUUAGGUAGUUGGUGGGGUAAAGGCCUACCAAGCCGACGAUCUGUAGCUGGUCUGAGAGGACGACCAGCCACACUGGGACUGAGACACGGCCCAGACUCCUACGGGAGGCAGCAGUGGGGAAUUUUGGACAAUGGACGCAAGUCUGAUCCAGCAAUGCCGCGUGCAGGACGAAGGCCUUCGGGUUGUAAACUGCUUUUGUACAGAACGAAAAGGCUCUGGUUAAUACCUGGGCUCAUGACGGUACUGUAAGAAUAAGCACCGGCUAACUACGUAGCCAGCAGCCG
rnacentral:rRNA from 1 species